rnacentral:rRNA from 1 species
GACGAACGCUGGCGGCGUGCUUAACACAUGCAAGUCGAACGGAAAGGCCCUGCUUUUGUGGGGUGCUCGAGUGGCGAACGGGUGAGUAACACGUGAGUAACCUGCCCUUGACUUUGGGAUAACUUCAGGAAACUGGGGCUAAUACCGGAUAGGAGCUCCUGCUGCAUGGUGGGGGUUGGAAAGUUUCGGCGGUUGGGGAUGGACUCGCGGCUUAUCAGCUUGUUGGUGGGGUAGUGGCUUACCAAGGCUUUGACGGGUAGCCGGCCUGAGAGGGUGACCGGCCACAUUGGGACGGAGAUACGGCCCAAACUCCUACGGGAGGCAGCAGUAGGGAAUAUUGCACAAUGGGCGGAAGCCUGAUGCAGCAACGCCGCGUGCGGGAUGACGGCCUUCGGGUUGUAAACCGCGUUCGCCUGUGACGAAGCGUGAGUGACGGUAAUGGGUAAAGAAGCACCGGCUAGCUACGUG